GAUCCUGAAGAGCAACGGUAGCUCAUCUUACUCGAGAUCAGAAAGUUGCCCGUUCGAAUCGGGCCGUGGUUA
rnacentral:tRNA from 1 species